rnacentral:lncRNA from 1 species
CGGCACGGCACGGCACGGCGCGGCCGCCCGCUGGGAGGGCAGGGGGAGCGGGCGGCGAGGCCUACCUCCGGGGGCACCAGGAAGCCCGGCCACAGCCGACUCUCAGGGAAGAAAAGCCGCACAAAGGGGGGAAAUAAAACGUUCGCGAGUUGAAAGAAGACUGCUGAAAGAGGGAGAAAGAUAUUUGAAUUGCUAUUGCUGCUGGAGAAAAGGAAUGAAAAAGAAGUCUUCAGUGGAUCAGGGAAUAUCAGUGCCAUAUCAGUAACUGUAAAUGAGAAGCGAAUACUCCUCUCAAAGCUGCUGAUACUGCAGAAAGAUCCAGCGAGACAAAGUAGCAUGUAAUAUUUUCUUUAACUGGCAGGUUGGGCCUGGUAUUGUACUGGCUCCAUCUUGUGGCUGAACCUGUAAAGAAUUUUUGGUAAUCUUAACUUGUUAAAAUGAUCCUUACAGAAAUAUUGAUAAAUAAAUGUGUAAACUUCCUUUAUAACUUUUAAAAC